CUUCUAUCCGACCUAGCGCUGCAUAACCAGAUCGGAGUGGAGGGGGAGAGUGGAGCCGCCACGAGAGUGCUCCGCGCCGUCGUCACCCAGCCAUCUGGUAUUGUGCCAGUGCCUUCUACAAGCCUGGGGGCGGGAGGUCGUGGUCGUGCCACUCGGGAUCUACCACCGGAGCCGAUUGAAUUGCUCGUUGGAGCGAUCCCCUUGCCGUCAACCCGCUCUGCGCCACGGCCGGACCCACCACCGCGUCAAAUCAUGACAAGGAAGUGAUUGAGGCU
rnacentral:lncRNA from 7 species